rnacentral:rRNA from 1 species
GACGAACGCUGGCGGCGUGCUUAACACAUGCAAGUCGAACGCUGAAGCCCUUUCGGGGGUGGAUGAGUGGCGAACGGGUGAGUAACACGUGGGUAAUCUGCCCUGUACUUCCGGAUAAGCCUUGGAAACGGGGUCUAAUACCGGAUAGGACCUGUCCUCGCAUGGGGGUGGGUGGAAAGUUCCGGCGGUAUGUGAUGGGCCCGCGGCCUAUCAGCUUGUUGGUGGGGUAGUGGCCUACCAAGGCGACGACGGGUAGCCGGCCCGAGAGGGUGACCGGUCACACUGGGACUGAGACACGGCCCAGGCUCCUACGGGAGGCAGCAGUGGGGAAUCUUGCGCAAUGGGCGAAAGCCUGACGCAGCAACGCCGCGUGGGGGAUGACGGCCUUCGGGUUGUAAACCUCUUUCGACAUCGACGAAGGGGCCCUGUUGUGGGGUUUUGACGGUAGGUGUAGAAGAAGCACCGGCUAACUACGUGCCAGCAGCCGCCGCAG